UUCGCCCUUUUCCGGUUGAUCCUGCCGGACCUUACUGCUAUCGGGGUGGGACUAAGACAUGCGAGUCGAGCGUCUCUAGCUAUGUUGAGGCGCGGCAGACGGCUCAGUAACACGUGGCUAACCUACCUUCAGGACGAGGAUAAACCCGGGAAACUGGGGCUAAUACUCGAUAGGUGAGGAUGUCUGGAAUGACUUCUCAUCCAAAGGGCCUUGGAAACAUGCUUUCAAUGUCGCCUGGGGAUGGGGCCGCGUCCGAUCAGGUUGUUGGUGAGGUAACGGCUCACCAAGCCUAUAACCGGUACGGGCCGUGAGAGCGGUAGCCCGGAGAUGGGUACUGAGACAAGGACCCAGGCCCUACGGGGCGCAGCAGUCGCGAAAACUCCGCAAUGCACGAAAGUGUGACGGGGCUACCCCGAGUGCCAUCCGCUGAGGAUGGCUUUUCUUUGGUAUGACUAGCCAUGGGAAUAAGGAGAGGGCAAGACUGGUGUCAGCCGCCGCGGUAAUACCAGCUCUCCGAGUGGUAGGGAUGAUUAUUGGGCUUAAAGCGUCCGUAGCCGGCUUGGCAAGUCUCCUGUUAAAUUCAGCGACCUAAUCGUUGACCCGCGGGAGAUACUACUAGGCUAGGAGGCGGGAGAGGUCGACGGUACUUCUGGGGUAGGGGUGAAAUCCUAUAAUCC
rnacentral:rRNA from 1 species